CAAACUAAAAAUAUGUCGCAGGACAGUCUGUCUAGGAUGUCCAGAACCCUGGAGGAUGCUGCCUCGCAGUGGGGGUCCAGACAUGUGAUGUUCGCUGGAGGAUGCAGGAGAUAACCACGCAGAAUGUCUCUUUUCUCUACCUCCUGGUUUGAGUAUGACCCCUCCCCUGGCUUGUGACCCUUCACUUGGAUAUCACUCCUGGCAUUUGGCUCUGGGACAGACUACUCAUGUUGAACCAUAGACAUAUUCUUGAUUCAAGAACACAUCUAAGUCUAAUGGCACAGGGCCCCCGUCUCUCUGGCUGACAGCAGGUUACCAUGAUCUUCAAGAGGCAGCAAUGGGAAUACGUUCCUAGAACAACAAAGAGAGAAGGAGUUUAUCGAGCCCCCCAAGCCCCCUCCGUCAGAGUGAAGCUCACCUAGAAGCCCUCCCUCAUCAUGGGAUCUGAGACAACACACACUUACUUUCGCUGCUCUUCACUACUCCGAGGACAGUAGUUGUUUUCUUUGCCGUGUGUGUGUGUGUGUGUGUGUGUGUGUGUGUGUGUGUGUGUGUGUG